UUUUCUAAAAGAAAACUGAAAGGAUGUCAUUAAUAAAAUAAACAAUUACAUGACUACAUGUAGAACACGUGUAGCCUAACAGCUUCCCCCAAACCGUCGGUGACACCCCGUAAAAAAAAAAAAUAAAAGCAGAAUACAACUUUCUAGAUGCCUAAAAAACUGAACAGACGCAUUAAAAACAACAGUAGCCGUCGAGAAACCUUAGAAUGGCUGCCUGAAAAACAAAGAAACAAACCAAACAAAUCAGAAAAAAAUUGUAGCCUAAACUGAUUGGCAUUCCUCUCCGUCUCUUCUAUUACCAUCGUUUAUCUCCAAAAGAACAUUAUUGUUAACGUCCAACGAUGGAUCCUUAAAGAACCUGAAAUCGUCGGAAUCCGCAAAAAUCCCUUUCCUCCAACCCAUUUCAUCCUCAAAACAGAGCCCUUCUAUCUUCUUCGUCCACCGCUUCAACUCUUGAAGGUGCCUCCUUAACCCAAAUCAUCGCCGAUGGCCAUUGAUUUCCUUCCUUCGCCAUCGUAUGUGCCGCUCUGUUCACCGCUCUGCCCACGAAACGAUAAGAAUUCCCUUCCACCACAAGUCGUCGGAAUCCCAACUCUUCGGCCACCGACACCGCAUGUAAACAAGCCUUCGCCUCAACCGUGGUGGCAUCGGCCACAAAACUAUUUGGGUAAGCACAAGUCGCAAAAUGUGCCCCUCACCAUCUCUAAAGAUUAUCCUAAAUACCGAACUAAACAUGCACUUGUUGAAAGUCGCAUCAAAAUUGCAUUUAACUUCAUUUAUUCUUGGUGGCGUCCAUAUACUAUUCAUCUGGUUCAUAGAUGUUGAAAUCACGGAUUCUGUAAAUGUGCUAUCUGAAUAAUAUGCUUUAAUAAACGUAACCAGACCCACUAUGUUCUGUUUUUCACCCUGAUGAUAUACCUUAUUUCCGUGGUAUCAGACUGCCCAGAACACAAUAGUUAGCCAUUUGCAUUUCUCCUCUCCUGUACAAGAAAAUAUAUUUGCUAACCACAAUUUCCAACUUUGUCCUUGAAUGCUGGGCGAGACAUCCACCCCCACCCCUUGAAGAACACUUUUAAUAAACAUGCAAUCCCGGAAGAUAUGGCUCACCGAUUCCUCUAUUGUACGACAGAGGACAAAUGCGCACCACCUGCAUAUUCCUCACUUGUAAAUUGUCAUAGGGAUAUAGUUAUUAGCAAUUUUCCGUGUUGUAAUUUUUAUUUUGCUUGCAACUUGUAACUUCUAUAAUUUGUUGUAGAAGUUCGGUAAUAGCGUAGCUUGUUGUAACAUUCCCCCCUGCGCUGCUGUAACUUCUUCACUAAGCAGCCAUUUAUAGCCACUUUUGGCCGAAAACACACCUAUACUGUGUCCCCUUCACACUCUUUCAUCAUCAAGAUCAACUUCAGCAACUGGGAUUGUCAAAAUUUUGUUUACCUGCUCCUCGACAAAAAGCUUCCUUAGGACCUCCAACUUACAGGUCUUGGUAACCAGACAUCAUUCCAGAUGUUUAUUGAUUUGCCGUUUCCAACCCUUUAGCCCAUGCCUAGCUCCAGAAGUCUCCUGGCUCCCCAUAUGCUUCUCCAGGUAAAAGAUGGGUGACAUCCUAAACUGGCACUCAUAAAGUCACAAUGUGGAUAAUCCUUUUCUUUCAUGACACGAGCAGACAAACAAUCUGGUUUCAUAAUUAACCGCCAUCCUUGUUUAGCAAGUAUCGCUAUAUUGAACUUGGUUAAUUUCCUAAAUCCCAAUCCCCCUUGUGCUUUCGGCUAGCACAUCCCCCUCCAAUCACACUAAUAAAUUUCCUAUUCUGUUUUAGAA